rnacentral:lncRNA from 1 species
AUUUGGCCCACUAUAUAAAUAUUUUUUCAAAUAUUACACUAUAUUAUUAUUUUUUUAUCAAAUGCAACAAUAUCUUAACGGGGUUAGUCUGCGAAACGAAAACUCAAUGCUCCGUUAAAGAAAGAGACGAGAAAGAGAGAGAAAGAGGGUACGGGGAGCUAAAAAAGACAUCAAAAUAGAUAAGAAUAUAUAUAUAUAUAUAUAUAUUUUGAGAGAAGGUAGCAUGCUAUCGUUUCAUUCAUUUAGAAAAUAAACUUGACUACAAAUUAAGGCAACUUGGGCCUCGAAGACAAAAAAAAAAAAAAAAAAAAAAAAAAAAAAAAAAAAAAAAAAAAAAAAAAAAAAAAAAAAAAAAAAAAAAAAAAAAAUAAAUUCACUAGGUGCAGAAAGGUCCCAGAAGUCCCUUAUGAUACGGGUUUCCGACAAUACUCCACCUAGAGUGCGUUUGAAUUACUGAAAAAUUUUUUUAUUGCGCUCUAGCCAAAUAGUCCACCACAGAGCGGCGAUAGUUGUCAACUCUUUCCCCCAUGUGCACCCUUUUUAAGAAUUUGCUCUCGUUUUUAAUGUGCAAAGACGAGCACACGAGCAUCACGACCAUCGGAUCUAGAAGACCUUAAUGUUGUUGAAUCUAAGGCUGCGUAUAGUUGGAAAACUAAAUUUUGGAGAACAACUUUAGUUGUUCUCGAGAACAGAGGAUAUUUCAGUACAAGAUAGAACAAUUGUAAAUUUAUAUUAGAUACAUUCGGGAAUAUUCUAGAGAAUAUUUUUAGCAUCGUUUGGAUAAAACGUAUAGAACAAUGUCUAAAUAUAUUUUUAAAAAUAAAAUAAUCAAUUUAUAUUAGUAUAUUUUAUAUAAAAUUAUUUAUAAAAUUAUUUUUUAUAGUAAUUUAUAAUAUAAUAUUUUACGUAACAAUUUAAUUUAAAAUAGUAUAUUUAUUUUACUAUAUAUAAUAAUAAUUUAUUUUAUAUAAUUUAUUCAUAAUAUAUGUAACGAUAUCUUCUAUAAUUUAAUUAAUAAUAUUAUAAAUUUCAAUACAAAUUAAAAAAAUAUAUAUAAUGCAUGAAAAAAUAAUUUUAUAUAUAUAUAUAAUACUUAAUAUAAAAUAAAAUAAUUAAAUAUUAAUAUAUAAAUAAUAAAACUUAAUAAAAUAAAUAAUAUAUCAAAUUUACUUCAUUUAUAUUAUAUAAUAAAAUUUAAGUCUAAAUAUAUUAUCAUAAAAAUAAUAUUUAUAUUAAUAUAUCUAUUUAUAUAUCUAUUUAUCUAAUAAAAUAAAGAGAAUAACAAAGUUGUUCUCCGUUCUCCUAGGAACAAUUCCUAACGGGACAACCCGCUUUGACCGGAACAAUCCGUUCCCUUCUGUUCUUCUGUUGUUUGGUUACAACUCGGGGGAUAUCCCGUGUUGCUCCGGGAUAUCCCCAGUACCAAACACAGCCUAGAGAUUGAUGAAGAGAGAAUACCAGAUUCUCUCUCCAUUUUUUUUUUCGGAUAAACUUUAAAUACCACUCAUGCGGUUUGGCACUUUCUCAGUACUUUAGUACUUUGUGGUUUAAAGUGUAUUGAUUUAUUGUCAUGUGGUUUCAUUUUUCUCUUUUCGUCAGCUUCUCUGUUAAUAUUUCAUUGAAUUAAAUACAAAAAAUCUUAGAUAUUCCAUAUAGAUUUAUCGAAUAUUCACUUUAGUAUUAUUUAGUUUUAACUUUCUCACUGAUUUAAGUGAAAAAAUUAGUAGAAUUGGUAAUAAAAAGAGAAAAAUAAAAUCACAGGGUACUAAAUUGAUACACUUUAAAUUAUAAAAUACUAAAGUGAGAAAGUGUGAAACCACAGAGNUUUUUUUUUUCUUCUUCUUCUAAUGAGUAGAAAUACUCGGCCUUCCUUUCCCGCUAAAUAAAACUACUUUCCCAGUUAAGAUAUUAUUGCACUUGAUGAAAAAUAAUUGUAUAGUGUAGCAUUUGAAAAAAAAAAAAAAAAAUCCUUAGGCGAAAAAAAUGGAUCUGCAUAUACUAGCAUCAAUUUAGUGAAAGAUCAGGUUGGAGAGAAGCCAUGUGAUCUUUAAAAACCAUUACUCUGACUUAUUGGCUAUUAUUAUUCGAAAAAUCACCAGAAUAGUGAAAUUAUGGGAGGAAUUUUGUUUGUGCUAAUGACGUCCCUUUUGUUGUAGAUGUUUGUGUUGUAUGGUUUUUUUUUUUUCAUCUUUCUUUCUCUAUCUUUCUCUACUUUCUUUUUUUUUGCUUCUCUUGUUUUUUUUUUUUUUUUUUUUGCUGCUCUCACAAAGGAUUAAUUGCCUCACCUUUAUAACUAAGUUUUUUUUUUUAAUAAAUAAAGUAAAUAGUUUGCCAUCCUUCUGUUUAAAAAAGACGUCCAAUCGAUAUAAAAAUGCUGAAUAGAUCAAUAAAUGGAUAACUCUAUCCCUGUAAAGGAAUGGGACCAUAUACUCAUAAUUUAAUAUGGGAGAGAGAGAUCAAAUUCUACUUUACUGAAAAAUAGUCUAAUCAAUCAUUUACCAAAAUUAGUGUGUUGCAUAUGAUAAGCGGUUGAUUAAACUGUCUUCUCGCUGUAAGACUUCUAAUGUAAUUACUUUUAAUCAAUAGAGCACUUUAUACUAUAAAAAUAAUGAAAAUAAAAUUAUUGUAAUAGUUGAAAAAUAAAUGAUACUUGCAAAUUCUAAAAGAAGGUAUAUAUCUUAUAUUUUACAGUCCAAAAAUUAAAAUAUAUCUCGUGGGUUUUAAUAUUAAGACUAGCGAGGUAAAACAGAUCAACGGAUUGACAAAACGUAAGAUUUAUAUCUACUUAAAGCAUAAAUAUGAUACCAUAGUACUGCAUUAAAACAUAUGCAGAAUUUGAAGUAGUCUCACAUUAACUACAUAGAUAGAUCUAGCAACCAACUAUUCAAAAUUUUUUUGAUAGAAGAAGCUUACUUAGAGGCCUUCAGUAAAGGCAACACCCGUCCCCGGCAACCAAGACCCACCUUGUAUCAGCGCGGCCACCGUAAAGGCCUUCGCCACGUUCGGAUCGGUGAUCACGUGAUACCCUGGCCAUUGCACCCGCCCGGCGGUCCCUGCCCCAGGCCCGCGGUUCUGAUACUCCCCGUAGAACAGGGUCUUCAAUGCGAAGUCGCCAUCCCACUCCAACCACCCUUGCGGGGCGAUGUGAUCGUCGAUAAACGACUGCAUGAACACCGUCUUCGAAUACGCCAUCCACGGCCGGCCGAGGUACGACGGAAUGGCCUUCUUGACGGGCGAAAGGUCCGGCCCGGGCAACACCUGGCAGUUCUGGAUGGAGGUGGCGGUGUCCUGGUUCGGGUCCUCGCGGCCUUGGGCGGUGAUCGUGUUUUCUUGGUUCGGUAACGGCUCACGCGCGAUGAUCUGACAAUUCUGGAUCACUACGGCGGCGUUGCCGAAGAUGAAGUCAAU